rnacentral:rRNA from 1 species
CGUGCAGGCGGAUGAGUAAGUUACUCAUGAAAGCUCCCGGCUAAACCGGGAGAGGUUGAGUAAAACUGCUAAUCUAGAGUGGAUGAGAGGUAGGUAGAAUUCCUUGUGUAGUGGUGAAAUGCGUAGAUAUAAGGAAGAAUACCGGUGGCGAAGGCGACCUACUGGCAUCCAACUGACGCUCAGACGCGAAAGCAUGGGUAGCGAACG